CAACACUUGGACUACUCUUUAAUAAAAUAGUUGUUAACCAGGGGUUUAGCUGUUUUCCAGGGGUUCUUCCCUGGCUGGGACUCGGCCUCCUGCUCCAUCAUGGGCCGUCCAUCCUUCCCAGCAAGGACGGGGCGAAUCCAAGGCCUCUCCUGCUGCCAAGGUGGAGCCUUGGGUAGGAACACAGCACGUCCUGAGCAAAAAAUAGUGACACCAAGCAAAACAAAGCAGAAAUAGCCCUUCCCAGCUGAUAAUCCUUGUGGGAAAGGUGGCACCAAGGCAGCAGCAGUGGCAAUACUGCAGUGAGGGAGGUGCCGCCAUUACCCGGGCUUCUCCUGUCACCGCUGGCGGUGUGACGGCCUGCACAACUGCUCCGUGUCUGCUCUAACUUCUUCACCUGUUUAAUCACAGCUGCCCAAAGUGCCUUAGCAGCUUCCUGGUGUGCUCAGGCUGCUGUCAGGCUGCUGGUUUUCUCUGUGGUUUGUGAGCUUGGCCUGGUUUGAUUAAUGGCAGCCCAGUGUGGGGGGAUGCAGCAGGGACAGAGAAGGCCGCACGGUCCCUUGGCUCGGGUUUGACUGCUAAAUCAGAGAAAGGUGCCGUGAAGUGGUCAAAGACCAAAAGGAAACAAACCUUCUGGGAUGUGCUUUCUGAGGCUCUCAGGAGCAACAGAAUGUCUUGGAACUUGAACAGCCUGCUCAGAUCCAUUAGAGGCAGAGGCUGGAGACAAAGCAGAUGAUGGAAACCCAUGUUAUUUAGUAUGCUGAAGAAGGAUAAAAAGCUUGCUAUGCCAAGAUGCCCGGUGGGUCUGCUCUGCCUGCCCACACCAGCCUGGCCAGGGAGCCCAGGGCUAAUGCUGGACACGGCUCUCAGAUCAGUAGGUCACUUCUGAUCUGAGUGACACCAGCAGAGCUGAGGUUAGAAUUUGGGACCGUGCACCAGCAACGUCUCCGCAGCGGUGUGAAAUUAACGCCAGGAGAAUGGAGCCCAUUGAUCUCAGCAGAGCAAAGCCAUCAGGAUUGACCCUGGGAAUCAUGUGACACAGUGUUCCAGGAAGCAGCCUUUGUUUGCACACACUGUGGCUUUUAUUUAUUAAUAUGUGAGGCCAACAAUGCCUAUUGUCUCCUCUCAUAUUAGAGUGUUGUCACAUGAGCAGUUCAAGUGACACCAAGGAUUGCAAGGCGAAGACAGGCGGUUCUAUCCGACUCCAACUGCAAAUGUAUAUUUGAAUACAUUAAUACUCAACAAAUAUCCUCUCAGAUUAAAUAGCUCACAGGUUUAUUUUUAAAUAAAAAUCACCCAAACCACUCUGCCUCAUAAGUUUGCCCAUCUAAACAAAGGAAGGGUAAUCCAGGCACAAUGCAUUUAAAUAAAAUUAAGUGAAUGAUUUGAGUAUCUGAAAUUCAGGUUUCAGAUUAUUUAUUAUGGUAAUAUUUUUUUUAAAAAAUCCUCUUUCGUCCUGUGACACUUGGAAAUUUUAAGUAUAGAGUUAUAAUUUUUAAUGGAGUUUUGUUCUGCUGUUUGAAAGACACCUUUUUGUUUCCAUCUCACUGGUAUAAUUUAGUCAUACAAAAUUAACAGCCUCUGUAAUAUUUAACCUUAUGUUAGCCUUACUAUGUAUAGUUUCAUCCCUUUCCCCCCUCUAUCAACCUAGAACAAUACUUCCUUUUUUUAUUUUUGCCUUACAAUUGCUGCUUUCUCCCCACAUUUUAUGUGAAUCAGUUCUGCAUAACUGCAUCUGCUAUUGUGUUCAAGAGAAGAGAUGAGGAUUCUUAUGAAUUAUAUCAGGCUAAUUACAUCAGGCUUGAAAUAAAUACAGCUGAGCCUUCAGCUUCUGCUAUAGUAC